AUCCGUGCAAGAAGAUGUGCUCCAGCCUCUACCAUCAAGACAGAAUCUCUGAUCUGGGCUCUGGGGAAACACUGGUGCCCACAGCAAGCACGUUCCCUGCUUUCAGAUGGCUCAUCUCCCAGCUCAGUGGACAGCAGCUGCUCAGAUAUCCUGGGGUCAUCUGUCAACCAGUGAUGUCAGGAAAGCUGUGCCUCCUGAGCUACUUCUUCAUCUGAAUCUGGUCUCUUGGGAAGCAUCAUACAGAAUUUGCUCCUUGCUCCUGAAGGUAGAUGGCAUUCAUAGAGCCAAAAGACUGAAUGUGACCUCAGGGGUCAUUUGGUCCCUAUUCCUGAUUUUGGUCACCAGACAUCUGAUAAGUUAAGUAUUGAAUGUCAGCAAUGUACCAGGAACCCACUCUCCACUGAAGAAACCCCAGUGUGUGUGAACAGGCCCAGGACUGGCCCUCUUGGAACUUACAGUCUAGUGUGGGGAGUCAGAUGUUAUCGAAUAAUCACACAAAUGAAUAGAAAGUUGAGAUUGCCAAGAGGGCUGGGAAGGAGGUUUGUGCAGAGUGUAAGAUGAGCACCCCGGGCAGAGGCGGCAGACACACAGCAGACUCUCUCCCGCUCCUCCCCAGACCUCAUCAGUCUGUGGAGGGCUCCGGGUCCAGGGUUCUGGCUACAAGCUCCUCAGGCAAUCCCCAGGCCAUCCCAAGACACUCGCCGUUUUGAGAGUGUGAGCACUGUGUUCUAAGAGGCCCAGACAGACCCUCUCCCCCAGUUGAUGACCCGGGCAGGUUUCUCUCUAAGCCUCGGUCACUUGUUUGUAAAGUUGGAGUGAUGUGUCUGCUGAAGAGUAUGAAGAGUAUGAAGGGUGUGCACAGUCAGACAUGGACACAAGCAGGCAGCUAGCAGGGCCUGCUCCCUUCGCUCAGUAGGGAUCCCAUGGGCUGGGGGGACCUGACCCACACACACAAGGACAAACCAGAGGGAGUCCCCGUGCAUUUUCAGGAGAAGAUUUGCCCUUGACUUCCUGAGGGAAAAGGUCAGACAUUAGGAUGUGAGAAGUGGUCAGUCAGGAGCAGCCCAGGCCAGCUACCCCUUAAGCCACUAGGAUAUUACCCCAACCCUGAAGCAGCAGGCAUAGGGAGCAUCUACUUUGGAAGAAGGGUCAGCUGACAGCAGCCGAGGCUGUGUGCAGAGGCCCAGGCACUGCCCACCAGGGCUUGCCUAGCAGGAGCCAGCAACGGAACUGAGAUUUUGACCCUUUUCCCCUAGUUCUUGCAAAAUACGCUUUUUGUCUUAAGUAAUAGGCUUUGUUCUAAGGACUUUCAUGUAUUGUCUCAUUAAAUUGUCAUGAUAAAUUGGAAGAAAAGCAUGUGCAAGUACGUGUAAGUGCAUGAAUGUGUGUAAACACACACACACACACACACACACACACACUCCAGCGGGAAGUGCUGCAGUCUCCCAGUGCUUCUGUUUAGGUGCAGCCAGCUCAUUGAUGUAGGGAGGGGAAUUAUUUUGGUAGGUGUUAAUAUUGC
rnacentral:lncRNA from 1 species